rnacentral:rRNA from 1 species
CGGUGUUUAACUGGCGUGAUGUGGGACGUCCUACCGGUGGGCUUAGCCUCGCGAGGGGCGGCCCAACUAAUAUCCCGUCGCGGUGCUCUUUACUGAGUGUCGAGUCGGGCCGGUACGUUUACUUUGAACAAAUUAGAGUGCUUAAAGCAGGCUAUCCUCGCCUGAAUACUGCGUGCAUGGAAUAAUGGAAUAGGACCUCGGUUCUAUUUUGUUGGUUUUCGGAACCCCGAGGUAAUGAUUAAUAGGGACAGAUGGGGGCAUUCGUAUUGCGACGUUAGGGGUGAAAUUCUUGGAUCGUCGCAAGACGGACAGAAGCGAAAGCAUUUGCCAAAAAUGUUUUCAUUAAUCAAGAACGAAAGUUAGAGGUUCGAAGGCGAUCAGAUACCGCCCUAGUUCUAACCAUAAACGAUGCCAGCUAGCGAUCCGCCGAAGUUCCUCCGAUGACUCGGCGGGCAGCUUCCGGGAAACCAAAGCUUUUGGGUUCCGGGGGAAGUAUGGUUGCAAAGCUGAAACUUAAAGGAAUUGACGGAAGGGCACCACCAGGAGUGGAGCCUGCGGCUUAAUUUGACUCAACACGGGAAACCUCACCAGGCCCAGACACCGGAAGGAUUGACAGAUUGAUAGCUCUUUCUUGAUUCGGUGGGUGGUGGUGCAUGGCCGUUCUUAGUUGGUGGAGCGAUUUGUCUGGUUAAUUCCGAUAACGAACGAGACUCUAGCCUGCUAAAUAGGCGUACCUUAUGGUAUCGCGAAGGCCCCCGGCUUCGGCCGGUGGGUUUUUACUACCAACGUACAAACAAAUCUUCUUAGAGGGACAGGCGG